UGGGGAAUAUUGGGCAAUGGGCGAAAGCCUGACCCAGCAACGCCGCGUGAGGGAAGAAGGUUUUCGGAUUGUAAACCUCUGUCCUAUGGGAAGAAGGAAGUGACGGUACCAUAGGAGGAAGCCCCGGCUAACUACGUGCCAGCAGCCGCGGUAAUACGUAGGGGGCGAGCGUUGUCCGGAAUGACUGGGCGUAAAGGGCGCGUAGACGGCUGUCUAAGUCUGGAGUGAAAGUCCUGCUUUCAAGGUGGGAAUUGCUUUGGAGACUGGAUGGCUUGAGGGCGGAAGAGGUAAGUGGAAUUCCCAGUGUAGCGGUGAAAUGCGUAGAGAUUGGGAGGAACACCAGUGGCGAAGGCGACUUACUGGGCCGUAACUGACGUUGAUGCGCGAAAGCGUGGGGAGCGAACAGG
rnacentral:rRNA from 2 species